UUUGAGGUUCUAACCCAGACCCGUAAUCCGGGUCGGGGACCGUGCAUGGUAGGCAGUUUGACUGGGGCGGUCUCCUCCCAAAGAGUAACGGAGGAGUUCGAAGGUUACCUAGGUCCGGUCGGAAAUCGGACUGAUAGUGCAAUGGCAAAAGGUAGCUUAACUGCGAGACCGACAAGUCGAGCAGGUGCGAAAGCAGGACAUAGUGAUCCGGUGGUUCUGUAUGGAAGGGCCAUCGCUCAACGGAUAAAAGGUACUCCGGGGAUAACAGGCUGAUACCGCCCAAGAGUUCAUAUCGACGGCGGUGUUUGGCACCUCGAUGUCGGCUCAUCACAUCCUGGGGCUGAAG
rnacentral:rRNA from 1 species